UUCUCAGUAGCUCAAUAGGAUAGAGCAUCGCUCUUCUAAAGCGAGGGUUGUGCGUUCAAAUCGCACCUGAGAAA
rnacentral:tRNA from 1 species